AUUUUUCUUAAUCAUUAUAUUAUUUGUAUUUCAAUUCUUAUUGCAUACAGAUUCUGUCAAAAAUGAUUAUACACUUUAUCUGCAGUAACUCUGUGAAAUGAUUUAAUGAGUCUGUGGCUGUACAUGCCUUGCUCUGUGAAGCAGAGACAUCUAUUUGUCACCUCUUCCUUCCACAUGUGUGCUCUCUCACCGUAGAUUACCUCUCUGCUAGAAAUGGCCCCCUCCAACCUGCUACCUGGGAACUCCUUCCCCUUCCUGCAGGUGACUGUCCAACUGUUUCACUGUCAUGCCUUAAAAUUCUUUGCACCAUUGAUGCACAGCAAAUAUGCAUACAUGUGAUGCGUGGCAGAGAAUUUGUUUCUGCACAUGGCGCUGUGGUUAGGGUGGCUUUGCCGUCGACCCCAGGGAUCGGUGAAGCACAUGUCUAGGUGAGUCCGGCUGGCCGUGGAGGUGUGGCCUCGAGGUCCAUGCUGGCCCCUUGCUCUCUAGCACCAUUCCCCUCCUCUGCUUCCUGCCCACCAUGAGCUCAGUACCUUUGCUCCCACCUUCCCGUUCUGCAGAGUUGCUCCGGCCUUGGAGCCAUGGGUCAAGGACAGAAUCCAGGAGGAAUUUAAACCGUGCCUCCUUUAAUUGUGGGUGUGGAAUACGCUGCCUUGGUGAUGGGAAAGCUGAGUAACACACAGGUAUUCUUUUAAUGGCCUGUGCAUUCAUGCACGUUUAGCACUCUUAUCUAGUCGUGAAGCUGUGCUUGUGUAACACAGUGACAAUUAACCACACGUGGCUACUUAAAAUCACUGUAACAAGUAAAAUAAAAGAUCUGCUUCUUCAGUGGCACCAACCACAUUUGAAGUGCUCGCUACCUGGGGCUAGAGGCUGUUCCACUGGUGUGUUGGUCAGCUCUUCUGUCGCGGGACAGAAUAUCUGACGUGCGCACCUAAGAGGGAGCUUUAGUUUGGCUCACGGCUAGAGGUUCCGGUGGUGGUGGGCUUGUUCCAAUCAGGACACUGGGGCGGGAGGGCCUCGGGGAGCAAAGCUUCCCCUUUCCUUGGCUUUUCCUUUGUGUUUAUUUGUGUAUGAAUUUUAAUAUCACCUUACCUAGCCCCAGGGAGAAGCUCAUGGUACUCGGCUGGGGUUGCAUUUCAUUUAGAAAUUAACUUUAUGAUAACUGAUGCAGUUGAUGAUGUCUGGGUGUGCUGUUUAUGAAGCAGAUUUUCCAUUUGUCUAUGCCUACUUUUGGCUUGAGAUGUGC
rnacentral:lncRNA from 1 species